rnacentral:rRNA from 1 species
GAUGAACGCUGGCGGCGUGCCUAAUACAUGCAAGUCGAGCGAACAGACGAGGAGCUUGCUCCUCUGACGUUUGCGGCGGACGGGUGAGUAACACGUGGAUAACCUACUUAUAUGACUGGGAACAUUUCGGGAAACCGGAGCUAAUACGGGAUAAUAUCUUGAACCGCAUGGUGGAAUAGUGAAAUACGGCUUUGCUGUCACGUAUAGAUGGAUCCGCGCCGCAUUAGCGGGUUGGUAAGGUAACGGCUUACCAAGGCAACGAUGCGUAGCCGACGUGAGGGGGUGAUCGGCCGCACGAGAACUGAGACACGGUCCAGGCUCCUACGGGAGGCAGCAGUAGGGAAUCGUCCGCAAUGGGCGGAAGCCUGACGCAACGACGCCACGUGAGUGAUGAAGGUCUUCGGAUCGUAAAACUGUGUUAUUAGUGAAGAACAAAUUUGUAAGUAACUAUACACGUCUUGACGGUACCUAAUCAGAAAGCCACGGCUAACUACGUG